AUGUUGUUUUGGAUGGAAAUAGGUCAUUGUGGAAGAAACUUCUGUUAUACUUGGUAUCUUGCUUCUCUUCGGAGCCGCAAGGGUCAGAUAGGUCAUUUUGGUAGGCAUACUUAUAUAUUUUUUUUUUCUUUAUUUUUUUUUUUUUUUUUCAGCUGGGAACCUAAAUUGUUGUGUUGUGUUGUUGUUUUUUUUUUUUGUUUUUCUUUCUGUUUUAAGGAAGAUGUGAGACUCCUGAGCAUCAAAGGUUGGAGCCUUCCCCUCUACCCCCAGCCCGGCUCACAGCGCUGCCGUGUGCCCAUGAGGCAGCGAUGUCCCAUCCUGGGCACACUCUCAGUGCUGAACCAUGCCUGUGUCUGAGUACCUUCUGGGCAGCAGGACUAGCAUUUGCCAUUUGUGUUCUCUUGUUCCCUUCCUAGUGUGAAAUUUUUAUAAACUAUUUAAAGAAUAUAUUAAUUGCUGUGAUCAGUUAUGUACGAAGUGAGACCUCGUACUUGGAUGUUCAAGUGCUUCAGGAAACGCUGCUCAGCCAGAACAGACCUAGAAUCCCCUCAGUGGAAGGGCAGGAAGACCCUGGGAAUGACAGAGGUGUAUUACAUGCCAGGGUGAUGCAGGUGCUCCUCAUGUCCUACCUACCCAGCGUGGUGAAGACCUGCAGGGGGUUGCUGGAGAAGCACAUGGAAUGGAAUAGCAGUUUGUUUCAUGUUGUGUCUGUUAAGAGACUUCUUCCUACAGAAAUUUUUCCUCUGCACAGCUCCUGGGUAACUUGCUGGGAUGGCAAUGUUCCCAUGCUGCUGUCCAAACUGAAGAGAAUUGCAAACCCCAGAGGGUUUCUUGAAAAACAACAGCAGUUCCUGUGGGCUUUGCAAAUGAAUAUUUGUGCAGACUCGUGAGUUAAUCUGGUUAGUAGACGUGUGAGAAUCGCCUUUUUCACAAAGUGUGGAGGUCAGUAAAGCAGCAUGUUGUAAGAACAAAAGGAAGUUUAAUAGAAGUGGUGAAUUGAGCAGGUUCAAAGGGGGAAUUUUUUUUUUAAAGUCAUAUGCAGCAGCACCAUAAACAGACACUAAAACAAUGGGGCAUGGGUGCGCUUCCAGCAUCCCAUACUUGGUGUUUGUGGACAUUUUGUUGGUACAAAAAGAAGGGACUGCAGAAAGUGGCCGGGCUCAUGUUCUCCCCAAACAUCUCCUGUUGUCACUGUCAGAGACAGAUGAACAUAUAGGAUGAGAUGGCUUGACCCAGUACAGUAUUUUUAUGUGCUAUGAAGCAGCCUCAGAAGCUGUGCAGAAACAAAGCAGGUCUGCAUGUUGGAGCCAAGCUGGGGGCAAAGACUUUGCUGGUGAAUUUGGUUUAGCUCACUCCC
rnacentral:lncRNA from 1 species